CGGGGGAUGGGGGCAGGACCUACACGGAUGAGACCCUUACACGGAGCUAUGAGGGCUGAGAAGGACCCAGGUGGGUGAAGGCAGAGGGAACAGCAAGUGCAAAGACCCUGAGGUGUGGUUGUAUGUGGUCUAGCUGAGGAGGAGGAAUAAGGCCAGGCCACAGCUGAGGCAGCAGCAUGACACAUGGAGAGGACGCAGAAGCUAAAAAGGGAGACGCAGGAAGAGACUUCGUGAGCUUCGGAAGAGUCCAGAUUUUAGCUUUUAGAAUAACCUGGGGGGUGGUGUAUUAUUACUUCUGCUCCCAUUUUACAGUUAAAGAAACAGAGAAUAGCACGUAAUAUAUAGGCAAGUACUGGGUUUAGGAUGGGUUGCUGUUUGGUGGGGUACCUCCUCUGAUGCUUGGAAGUGCAGUGUGGGUGGGGGCAGGCAGCCAGCAGAGUAGCCAUCAGGACAUCACUCUGAAUGGAGGGGCAAGGCUAGGAAUGUGCCAGAGGCUUAAAGAUAGGAGCCCCCCCUCCCACCUUGGGCUUUCUCCUCUGCUCUCUCCGGAGCAGUUGGAAGACAUUCGUGGGAAAAGAGGUGACUAUCAUGAUGGUCCUCAUUGCCGGACCAGAGAAGAUAGCAGGUUGAGCUUAUACAAGGUGACCUCUAUAGAGCGCUAUGAUUCCAUAAACAGAAAGCCAAAUCAACAGGUGAUUACUUCAGUACAUCUUCACGACUGGAUUUUUGUAAGUAAGCCGCUGGAAGGGAUGAACUUCUCUUUUUCGUUUCCUAUUCACUCCAUAUUCAGGAGAUCUGUGUGUGGCCUCUAGAAAUCACAUUAGAUAGAUCAAUUAAAAAAAAAACAAUAACAGAAUAAUUUUCAUUUCCAGUCUUGAUCAUCUGAAAAUGUUAAUCUCUUGCAUUUUCUCUUGGCUGAAUGCCAGAGCCAAAUUAGAUUUAUGAAUUUAGCAUGAUUGCAAGUUAACAGAUAACUCCAUGUUCUGCUGAGCCAGUGCAAACCUUUAAUGUUUAAUCAAGGAGUGGAAUUAGGAGUUCAGUAUGCCUUGCCUGGGAUAUUUUAAAAAAUGAAAUAGGAAAUGCCCCUAAAGUCUUUUUUUUAAAGAUUUUUAUUUAUUAAAAAAAAAUUUUUAUUUANUGCCCCUAAAGUCUUUUUUUUUUAAGAUUUUUAUUUAUUUAUUCAUGACACACACACACACACACACACACACACACACACACGGAAGCAGGCUCCCUGCGGGGAGCCCAAUGUGGGACUCUAUCCCAGGAUCCGAGGAUCACGACCUGAGCCAAAGGCAGAUGCUCAACCACUUAGCAAUCCAGGUGCCCCUAAGUCUUCUAAGCAGAGCUAACUUCUAACCUGUCUAGCCUGCCAAGGUUACUCUCAGCUGAUGUGACUUUGGAGAAUAUUGCUUCUGGAGGGAGGUUGGAGUAAACCCCAUAGGCCCAUGGAGGCACUUCAACAUCAUCCCAGAGCCCUGUUCCACUGCAAGGGAUAGGAUAGUUGGUGUAUGAGUUUUCUGGAGCUGAAGUAGCAAAGUACCACAUGCUGAAUGGCUCAAAUAAGAGAAAUUUACCAUCCCACAGUUCUGGAGGCUAGAUGUCUGAGUCCAGGUGUGGGCGAUGUCAUACUCUUUCUGAAGGCCUAGGGAAGCAUCUGUUCCAGGCCCUUCUCCCAGCUUUUGGUAGUUCCUUGGCUUGUAGCAACACGUCCACUCUUCAGGUGGCAAUGUAUGGGUAACUCUGUGUCCAAAUUUCCCCUUUUUAUAAGGACACCAGUCAUGUCAGAUUAGGCCCAUUCCUAUAUGACAUUAGCUUAACUAAUUUUAUCUCCAAAGACCUAUUUCCAAUUAAAGUUACAUUUUGAGGUCCUGGGGAGUGGGGAGAUACAAGUCAACUCAUAACCCACAACCGUUCGAUCCUGAUGGGAAAAUGUUUGAACACUCAGCCAUUUGCAUGUACACUUCACUUCUAGUUCUUUCCACAAGUCUAGGUAAUUGUUUUUAGAGUUUCUGCUAAUAAUUUUCUAUACCUUUUCCACUUGUAACCUUCUAAAGGUUAUAUAAAAGGCUCUAGGCUACAUUAACCUAACCUACAAAUUAUAUAGCUUGGCAUCUUCAAAAGUAAAAUGCUGACCUAAAUCUCCAGAAAAAAGCAGAAAUGUCAGAAAAGCAGGUGGCUGCCACGGAUUUCAGGAGUUUAGCCCUAUCCCACUGGGAGUUCCUUUGUAGUGGCUUCCCCUAGAACUGGCUUCUCAAGUGCAACGAGAAACAACUCUUUAAAUGCAUUCAGAUAUCAGAGCAAAUAGAAAUGAUGGUUCCUCUUUGCAGAACACCAUGAAAUAUUGAUAUGUGAAGCUAAAAUGAAUAUAAUAAACAUAUAAUUGCCUGCUAAAUUGGUCA
ensembl:lncRNA